rnacentral:rRNA from 1 species
GAUGAACGCUGGCGGCGUGCCUAAUACAUGCAAGUCGAGCGAACGGACGAGAAGCUUGCUUCUCUGAUGUUAGCGGCGGACGGGUGAGUAACACGUGGAUAACCUACCUAUAAGACUGGGAUAACUUCGGGAAACCGGCGCUACUACCGGAUGAUAUUUUGAACCGCAUGGUUCAAAAGUGAAAGACGGUCUUGCUGUCACUUAUAGAUGGAUCCGCGCUGCAUUAGCUAGUUGGUAAGGUAACGGCUUACCAAGGCAACGAUGCAUAGCCGACCUGAGAGGGUGAUCGGCCACACGGGAACUGAGACACGGUCCAGACUCCUACGGGAGGCAGCAGUAGGGAAUCUUCCGCAAUGGGCGAAAGCCUGACGGAGCAACGCCGCGUGAGUGAUGAAGGUCUUCGGAUCGUAAAACUCUGUUAUUAGGGAAGAACAUAUGUGUAAGUAACUGUGCACAUCUUGACGGUACCUAAUCAGAAAGCCACGGCUAACUACGUG